ensembl:piRNA 21ur-1114 ncRNA
GAAAAUUUUGCUGAACACCUU